rnacentral:tRNA from 1 species
CAGGGAGACAACAAAAUGUUUAAUAUUAUUUUGUCACCUUAGGUCGAUCGGUAUCUCACGUUCUUAAUUUAUCAAGAAUUUCAUUUCCUAAGUUUUUCUAGGUCACACCCAUUAUUUUUCCUGGGCCAUUAGCUCAGGUGGUUAGAGCGCACCCCUGAUAAGGGUGAGGUUCCUGGUUCAAGUCCAGGAUGGCCCAUAUCUCUAUGUUGGGGGUAUAGCUCAGUUGGUAGAGCGCCUGCUUUGCAAGCAGGAUGUCAGCGGUUCGAGUCCGCUUACCUCCACUGAUUACCACCUCUUCCAUAACCGGUAGAAAGGAAAUGUUUUGAGUUGUGAUCAUUAUUCUGAACGAAUCUAGCUUCCUAAUGAAAUCAUUAAGAUGCUGGACUCAUUGAAUUAAUUUCAUUGUUUUCAGAGAACCUUGACAACUGCAUAGAUUAUUUUUAAAGACAAUAAGCAUCUUUAAUGAUGCAGAUUUAUUAUUUGUGCGAAUGCAUUAAUAACAAUUCUAUUAAGCUGAUGCUUCAAUUUUGAAGUUAUU